UACGUAGGGUGCGAGCGUUUGUCCGGAAUUAUUGGGCGUAAAGGGCUCGUAGGCGGUCUGUUGCGUCGGGAGUGAAAACUCAGGGCUUAACCCUGAGCCUGCUUCCGAUACGGGCAGACUAGAGGUAUGCAGAGGAGAACGGAAUUCCUGGUGUAGCGGUGAAAUGCGCAGAUAUCAGGAGGAACACCGGUGGCGAAGGCGGUUCUCUGGGACGGUACUGACGCUGAGACGCGAAAGCGUGGGGAGCGAACAGG
rnacentral:rRNA from 1 species